CCUACGGGUGGCAGCAGUGAGGAAUAUUGGUCAAUGGACGAGAGUCUGAACCAGCCAAGUAGCGUGAAGGAUGACUGCCCUAUGGGUUGUAAACUUCUUUUAUAUGGGAAUAAAAUGUUCCACGUGUGGGAUUUUGUAUGUACUUUAUGAAUAAGGAUCGGCUAACUCCGUGCCAGCAGCCGCGGUAAUACGGAGGAUCCGAGCGUUAUCCGGAUUUAUUGGGUUUAAAGGGAGCGUAGGUGGGUUGUUAAGUCAGUUGUGAAAGUUUGCGGCUCAACCGUAAAAUUGCAGUUGAUACUGGCAGUCUUGAGUACAGUAGAGGUAGGAGGAAUUCGUGGUGUAGCGGUGAAAUGCUUAGAUAUCACGAAGAACUCCGAUUGCGAAGGCAGUUCACUAGACUGCAACUGACACUGAGGCUCGAAAGUGUGGGUAUCAAACAGGAUUAGAUACCCGAGUAGUC
rnacentral:rRNA from 1 species